GACGAACCGUGCAAACGUUAUUCGGAAUCACUGGGCUUAAAGGGCGCGUAGGCGGGUCGGAUAGUCUGCGGUGAAAUCCUCCAGCUUAACUGGAGAACUGCCGUGGAUACUCCCGGCCUCGAGGAGGGUAGGGGCAUCUGGAACAGCCGGUGGAGCGGUGAAAUGCGUUGAUAUCGGCUGGAACUCCGGUGGCGAAGGCGGGUCUCUGGACAGUUCCUGACGCUGAGGCGCGAAGGCCAGGGGAGCAAACGGG
rnacentral:rRNA from 1 species